GGGGACAACAGACGGAAACGACUGCUAAUACCGAAUACGCUUGGGAGACCGCAUGAUCUACCAAGGAAAGGGUGGCCUCUACCUGUAAGCUAUCGCCUGAAGAGGGGUUUGCGUCUGAUUAGGCAGUUGGUGAGGUAACGGCCCACCAAACCUACGAUCAGUAGCCGGUCUGAGAGGAUGAACGGCCACACUGGAACUGAGACACGGUCCAGACUCCUACGGGAGGCAGCAGGUGGGGAAUCUUCCGCAAUGGGACGAAAGCCUGACGGAGCAACGCCGCGUGAGUGAUGACGGCCUUCGGGUUAGUAAAGCUCUGUGAUCGGGGACGAACGGUCCGUAAGCUAAUACCUUAUGGAAGUGACGGUACCCGAAUAGCAAGCCACGGCUAACUACGUG
rnacentral:rRNA from 1 species